UACGGGGGGAGCAAGCGUUGUUCGGAUUUACUGGGCGUAAAGGGCGCGUAGGCGGUCAGCACAAGUCAGUUGUGAAAUCUCCGGGCUUAACUCGGAAAGGUCAACUGAUACUGUGCGACUAGAGUGCGGAAGGGGCAACUGGAAUUCUCGGUGUAGCGGUGAAAUGCGUAGAUAUCGAGAGGAACACCUGCGGCGAAGGCGGCAUCCUGGACCGGUAUUGACGCUGAGGCGCGAAAGCUAGGGUAGCAAACGGG
rnacentral:rRNA from 1 species